rnacentral:rRNA from 2 species
GCUUCUAUGACGUUAGCGGCGGACGGGUGAGUAACACGUGGGCAACCUGCCUGUAAGACUGGGAUAACUUCGGGAAACCGAAGCUAAUACCGGAUAGGAUCUUCUCCUUCAUGGGAGAUGAUUGAAAGAUGGUUUCGGCUAUCACUUACAGAUGGGCCCGCGGUGCAUUAGCUAGUUGGUGAGGUAACGGCUCACCAAGGCAACGAUGCAUAGCCGACCUGAGAGGGUGAUCGGCCACACUGGGACUGAGACACGGCCCAGACUCCUACGGGAGGCAGCAGUAGGGAAUCUUCCGCAAUGGACGAAAGUCUGACGGAGCAACGCCGCGUGAGUGAUGAAGGCUUUCGGGUCGUAAAACUCUGUUGUUAGGGAAGAACAAGUACGAGAGUAACUGCUCGUACCUUGACGGUACCUAACCAGAAAGCCACGGCUAACUACGUGCCAGCAGCCGCGGUAAUACGUAGGUGGCAAGCGUUAUCCGGAAUUAUUGGGCGUAAAGCGCGCGCAGGCGGUUUCUUAAGUCUGAUGUGAAAGCCCACGGCUCAACCGUGGAGGGUCAUUGGAAACUGGGGAACUUGAGUGCAGAAGAGAAAAGCGGAAUUCCACGUGUAGCGGUGAAAUGCGUAGAGAUGUGGAGGAACACCAGUGGCGAAGGCGGCUUUUUGGUCUGU